ensembl:lncRNA
UCUACCAACUGCGUUUUUAUUUUUUUAUUAAGACUUUCUCUCCCAAUUCUAUACCACCAAUUAGCUGUAUUUACACAACUACAUCCAAUCAUAUCCUUUAAAAAAAGACACUGGGUUAAACAUUUAAAAUAAAAAAAAACACAAGUUAUCUACUCUCCGCUACUUCAGAUUACUCUGGGUGUGUGAUAACCCAUACAGUUCUCUGUGCAUCAUGGAACAGAGCACUGUCCACAAAGAUCAGUUUGAAUUUCGACCUUGGGUUUAUUAUUGGAGGAAAAAACAUGAACACAGAACAGAAAUAUUGGAUUGGAUUAAUAUUGUACAUGUAAAGCGUACUUCAUAUAGACCGUGGAUAUGUAGCUGAAUUACAGUACCGCAUUUAGUAAUAUAGAAUAUGUAAGCUGAAUUACAGUACCGCAUUUAGUAAUAUAGAAUAUGUAAGCUGAAUUAGAGUACCACAUUUAGUAAUAUAGAAUAUGUAAGCUGAAUUACAGUACCACAUUUAGUAAUAUAGAAUAUGUAGCUGAAUUACAGUACCGCAUUUAGUAAUAUAGAAUAUGUAGCUGAAUUACAGAUAUUGCAUUUAGUAAUAUAGAAUAUGUAGCUGAAUUACAGAUAUUGCAUUUAGUAAUAUAGAACAUGUAAGCUGAAUUACAGAUAUUGCAUUUAGUAAUAUAGAAUAUGUAAACUGAAUUAGAGUAUCACAUUUAGUAAUAUAGAAUAUGUAAACUGAAUUAGAGUAUCACAUUUAGUAAUAUAGAAUAUGUAAACUGAAUUACAGAAGUGUAUUUAGUUGAACAGCUGCAAUUAUGUGUGACUGGAUAUGAGAAUAAAAUUCAGAAAACUCAAAAACGUACAUACAGCACUACUUAUUAUAAGGUAUAACAUUGUACUACUAAUGUAGGUUAGAAUCAUCCCUUAUGUGAACAUUGACAUCCAAUUUGACAAUAUACAUUGAGGAACUUUAUGGAUUUGAUUUUACAAAAAAAAAAAAAUGUUUUCCAUAAAUCCCUGGAGAUAAAACAUGGGAGACAUAAAAGCCAGAAAACACAUACUCACUCAAAAUGAAUAUGGUCCCUCACCACGAUACAAAGUUAAGAGACGGUGGCCAGGUAUUAAUAUGGUCCCUCACCACGAUACAAAGUUAAGAGACAGUAGCCAGGUAUUAAUAUGGUCCCUCACCACGAUACAAAGUUAAGAGACAGUGGCCAGGUAUUAAUAUUGUCCCUCACCACGAUACAAAGUUAAGAGACAGUGGCCAGGUAUUAAUAUUGUCCCUCACCACGAUACAAAGUUAAGAGACAGUGGCCAGGUAUUAAUAUUGUCCCUCACCACGAUACAAAGUUAAGAGACAGUGGCCAGGUAUUAAUAUUGUCCCUCACCACGAUACAAAGUUAAGAGACAGUGGCCAGGUAUUAAUAUGGUCCCUCACGACGAUACAAAGUUAAGAGACAGUGGCCAGGUAUUAAUAUGGUCCCUCACCACGAUACAAAGUUAAGAGACAGUGGCCAAGUAUUAAUAUGGUCCCUCACCACGAUACAAAGUUAAGAGUAGCCAGGUUUUUCAUCCAAUUAGCAACAUAUUUUCACGCAAAUAUUCUAACAUUUGCCAUAAAACAAUAUUCACAUUUUUUUCACACCAGAGAUGUUUUUCCAUCAAACGUAAUUUGUGCGGAUAAAAGACUGUGUGGCGUAGUGCACAUAAAACACACCUUUUUCUCUUCAAUCCCCAAUAGAAGUUCAUUGGGUUUCCAUUGCGUUUUGUGAUGUGAGAGAAGUGUUAUAUAUAGCGAAUGUGUCCACUCUGGUCUCUAGCCAACAGUUCGCAAAUGCAGUGCAUUAUGAGAUGAUUUAUGGAUAAAAGCGAUAUAAUUUUUUUUUCAUUUUGUCAAACGGCAGCCAAGUAUCUAUCAACAUGUCACUGGAAUAAGACCCUGGAUAUGGAUUGGAAAGGCGCAUCAAGCUCAUCACCACCCGGUGAAGUUCAUCAUCAUUUAUUUCAUCUGUAGCUUAAUAAACUGUGUGGUUUCCCGAGUCGUAGUGGGGAGGACUACACAACAUAUCAUCGCCGGACUCCAAGUUGACGUCAAUACGAUGGUUAUUAUAUCAAUAAUUAAGUAUAAAGGCAUUUCCACUACCAUUUCUUGCAUAAUUAAUUUUACCGACACAAAAAAGAUCCCGCCAUGUCGAACGAACAAAUUGUCUGUCGGCAUUUCUACAAAUGUACCAGUAUUUAAUGUUUCCAUAAACCCAGUCGUAACUUCUUUCAUGUGUCAGGUAAUUCAUCCGCAUGAAAUGUUUGGAUGGAAACGUGGUUAGUGUCAGACAGAGAAGCAGUCAUAAUUACCAGAGAACAUCAUUGAAGUAAACAUACACAUUCACAAAACAAUAAAAAAUAAAUAUACAAUAAAAUAAAAUAAAAAGUACAUAACAACAUUUAUAGUACAUAUUAAAUGUCAAUUGUCUGACAAAAAAAAAACAGUUGGUUCGUGAAAGUAGGCGCUUUGGGAGGGGAAGGCUUUUGGUUGGUUAGUACUGGAGAGGGUUGUUAUGGUAACCAGCCGUGCUAGGCUGUGAUUGGUUGACAGUCAGCCAGGCUGGCCUGUGAUUGGUUGAAAGUCAGUGAGCGUGUCCAGAUCAGUCCUUGCCGGCAUCGAUCUUCUCUUGCCGUCGUCUCAUGAUCUCUUGGAGCUCUGAAUCCCCACUGCUCUUCUGGAAAACAGUAAUACAGGCUUUAGUUUCACACGUCCCAAACACUGAACAAAAAGAGAAACACAACAUGCAACAUUUGUAAAGAUUUUACUGAGUUACAGCUCAUAUAAGGAAAUCAGUCAAUUGGGAUGAAUUAAUUAGGCCCUAAUCUAUGGAUUUAACAUGACUGGGAAUACAGAUAUCCAUCUGUUGAUAACAGAUAUAUAUAUAUAUUUUUAAAGGUAGGGGCGUGAAUCAGAAAACCAGUCUGUAUCUGGUGUGACCACCAUUUGCCUCAUGCAGCGCGACAUAUCUCCUUCGCAUAGAGUUGAUCAGGCUGUUGAUUGUGGUCUGUGGAAUGUUGUCCCACUCCUCUUCAAUGGCUGUGCGAAGUUGCUGGAUAUUGGCGGGAACUGGAACACACUGUCGUACACGUCAAUCCAGAGCAUCCCAAACAUGCUCAACAGGUAUCGUGUCUGGUAAGUAUGCAGGCCAUGGAAGAACUAGGACAUUUUCAGCUUCCAGGAAUUGUGUACUGAUCCUUGAGACAUGGGGCCAUGUAUUAUCAUGCUGAAACAUGAGGUGAUGGCAGCGGAUGAAUGGCACGACAAUGGGGCCUCAGGAUCUCAUCACGGUAUCUCUAUGCAUUCAAAUUGCAAUCGAUAAAAUGCAAUUGUGUUUAUUGUCCGUACCUUAUGCCUGCCCAUACCAUAAUCCCACCAUGGGGCGCUCUGUUCACAACGUUGACAUCAGCAAACCGCUCGUCUACACAACGCCAUACACGGUACCAUCUGUCUGGUACAGUUGAAACUAGGAUUCACCCAUGAAGAGCGCACUUCUCCAGCGUGCCAGUGGCCAUCGAAGGUGAUCAUUUACCCACUGAAGUCUGUUACGACGCUGAACUGCAGUCAGGUCAAGAACCCGGUGAGGACGACGGGCACACAGAUGAGCUUCCCUGAGACAGUUUCUGUCCAGUUUGUGCGGAAAUUCUUCAGUUGUGCAAACACACAGUUUAAUCAGCUGUCCAGUGGCUGGUCUCAGACCAUCCCGCAGGUAGAGAAGCCUGAUGUGGAGAUCCUGGGCUGGUGGGGUUUCACAUGACCUGCGGUUGUGAGGCCGGUUGGACGUACUGCGAAAUUCUCUAAAACGACAUUGGAGGUGGCUUAUGGUAGAGAAAUGAACAUUACAUUCUCUGCUCCGGUGGACAUUCCUGCAGUCAGCAUGCCAAUAGUAUGCUCCCUCAAAACACCAGACAUCGGUGGCAUUGUGUUGUGUGACAAAACUGCACAUUUUAGAGUGGCCUUUUAUUGCCCCCAGCACAAGGUGCACCUGUGUAAUGAUCAUGCUGUUUAGUCAGCUUCUUGAUAUGCCACACCUGUCAGGUGGACGGAUUAUCUUGGCAAAGGAGAAACGCUCACUAACAGGGAUGUAAACAUAUUUGUGCACAACAUUUAAGACAAAUAACCUUCUUGUGAAAAAUGAAAAAUGUCUGGGAUCUUAUUUCAGCUCAUGAAACAUGGAUCCAACACUUUGCAUUUAUAUUUUUGUUCAGUGUAUGUGUAUUUGUAUCAGUACAUGUAUCUAUCCACUUAACUAUAAAAAGACAAAUGUGGGUCUCAAAGCCUUAAAACAGCCACACAAGGAGUGUGUGUGCGUA